CCCAUCACGUGGAUACAAUUGAAACAUCGAUACGUAACUGGUCAGCCGAAGAAAGGAAGAUCCAUCAGCGUGUAAAAGAGAAAUGAAAAGUAGAAAAGGGUCCUGAAAGAGAAGAAGAGAAAAGAACCGACGACGAAGACGAGCAUGGCUGUCGGAGGCAUAUGUACACGAUUACUCUAACUCGGAAGGAGUGGUGAUGAAAAGAUCCGCUGCUAGGCCGGAAACCAAGGCUCACGCGAGAACUCGACCAUAAGGAUGGAGAGAGAGAGAGGAAUCAAGUGACGCGUUAGCAAAAGGAAGAGGAACCAACGGAAAGGACGAGGAGAACCGUGAGGGACGGAAGUCGGAAGAACGAGAUUAAAAGGAUAGAAAAAGACGCACGUACAUACAGCUCCAUGGACGGUGGAGCAAAUUGAAUGGAAGAAAAGAACGAAAAGGAAAAAUGAAAUGGAGACGCGGUACUAAAGAAGCCAGAGUAAUAGAUGAAACAGAUUCUCCGGAUGAAAGUUGGAGAGGAAUUAUUGAGAAUUCAAGGACCUGAAAAUAAUUUCCAACAGAAUUUGCCACGAACUCUUGCGAUAAAAUAUACGAACAGGAGAGAAGACGAUGGAAAUCAUGCUGGACGAAUAGUCGAAAGAACGAUUAAAGAGGUAGAAAAAAAUGUGCAUAUAUACGUUGGACUCGAUGAAGGGCGGGAUGAGGCAGAAAGGAAGUACGAAAGAACGAAAAAGGAAAAAUGGAGAAGUAGAGACACCGCUGUUGAGAAGAAUCGGAGUAAUAGCGAGAAAGAGGAAGUGGAAAAGGGAGCGGAGAUAAAAGAGAACGGGACAGACCGACGGGAUUUUUACGCUAGAGAGCACGAGAAAGAGAGAGAGAGAGGAGAGAAAAGGGCAGAUGGAAAGAGACAUAUCCACGCGCGGGGGCAGUAUUGAUCUGUUCGCGCAAACUCCUGACUCUUACGUUCGCUCCACGGCCAGAAUCGUGUCUCCCCACUUCCUCUUCUGCUCCGCUCCGCCCCUGUUCCCGACGUACGAAUGCCCCCGUCGACGCCGAAAGUGCUCCAUUGGCAUCGACUAUGACCCUGGUCAUUCUCCUCCACGCGUCGCCUAAUCGAGAACUUUCGGCGCGCGUGUUUCAAGUAUUUUUAUGAAACGAUAACGAUACGAUCCACUAAGUGAUCCACGUCAAAGGAAGUCGUUAGUUGAACUAUUUCUCACGAUCCUAACACAGAAGCGAAAGUGUCCGGAGGGGACUGCUACUCGUCCUUCCGUUGAUAACAUUUCAUACAGCGUACCGGACAAAAAUAAGAAGAAAUCUUAAAAAUCAAAUUUAGGAUCGAAAGAAAUAUCAUUGAUUCAAAAACCACCAAUACCACAUAUCUCGAUCAGUAUCUCGGGCCCCAUUAUCAGAGCCAUGAGAUAUUUAUGGCCCCAUGUCACCAAAACGAAAAAUACUACAAACAAUGAUAAAAUGAAAUAGCGACAGUGUAUAUCAUAUAUAAUAUUAUACAUAAUUCUCAUAUAAUCGUCAAUUACACGAUGAACAUAAAAACUGACUAUGCAAUGUGUUUUGGAAGUUUCUGCAAAAUGAAAAAAUAUGAUUCGAUACCGUGAUUACGUAUCUCAUUUACCUCUUCU